rnacentral:rRNA from 1 species
AGCUACAGGCUUAACACAUGCAAGUCCACUGGCAGCAUCAUCAAAGCUUGCUUUGAUGGAUGGCGACCGGCGCACGGGUGAGUAACACGUAUCCAACCUGCCGACAACACUGGGAUAGCCUUUCGAAAGAAAGAUUAAUACCGGAUGGUAUAGUUUUCCCGCAUGGGAUAAUUAUUAAAGAAUUUCGGUUGUCGAUGGGGAUGCGUUCCAUUAGGCAGUUGGCGGGGUAACGGCCCACCAAACCUACGAUGGAUAGGGGUUCUGAGAGGAAGGUCCCCCACAUUGGAACUGAGACACGGUCCAAACUCCUACGGGAGGCAGCAGUGAGGAAUAUUGGUCAAUGGACGAGAGUCUGAACCAGCCAAGUAGCGUGAAGGAUGACUGCCCUAUGGGUUGUAAACUUCUUUUAUACGGGAAUAAAGUUAGCCACGUGUGGUUUUUUUGUAUGUACCGUAUGAAUAAGGAUCGGCUAACUCCGUGCCAGCAGCCGCGGUAAUACGGAGGAUCCGAGCGUUAUCCGGAUUUAUUGGGUUUAAAGGGAGCGUAGGCGGGUUGUUAAGUCAGUUGUGAAAGUUUGCGGCUCAACCGUAAAAUUGCAGUUGAUACUGGCGACCUUGAGUGCAACAGAGGUAGGCGGAAUUCGUGGUGUAGCGGUGAAAUGCUUAGAUAUCACGAAGAACUCCGAUUGCGAAGGCAGCUUACUGGAUUGUAACUGACGCUGAUGCUCGAAAGUGUGGGUAUCAAACAGGAUUAGAUACCCUGGUAGUCCACACAGUAAACGAUGAAUACUCGCUGUUGGCGAUAUACAGUCAGCGGCCAAGCGAAAGCAUUAAGUAUUCCACCUGGGGAGUACGCCGGCAACGGUGAAACUCAAAGGAAUUGACGGGGGCCCGCACAAGCGGAGGAACAUGUGGUUUAAUUCGAUGAUACGCGAGGAACCUUACCCGGGCUUAAAUUGCAACUGACGGAACCGGAAACGGUUCUUUCUUCGGACAGUUGUGAAGGUGCUGCAUGGUUGUCGUCAGCUCGUGCCGUGAGGUGUCGGCUUAAGUGCCAUAACGAGCGCAACCCUUACGGGUAGUUACCAUCAGGUUAUGCUGGGGACUCUACCCGGACUGCCGUCGUAAGAUGUGAGGAAGGUGGGGAUGACGUCAAAUCAGCACGGCCCUUACGUCCGGGGCUACACACGUGUUACAAUGGGGGGUACAGAAGGCAGCUACACGGCGACGUGGUGCUAAUCCCAAAAGCCUCUCUCAGUUCGGAUUGGAGUCUGCAACCCGACUCCAUGAAGCUGGAUUCGCUAGUAAUCGCGCAUCAGCCACGGCGCGGUGAAUACGUUCCCGGGCCUUGUACACACCGCCCGUCAAGCCAUGAAAGCCGGGGGUACCAAAAGUACGUAACCGCGAGGAGCGUCCUAGGGUAAAACUC